ACACACACACAUGGGCAGAGCCGGCGGCCCCCGAGUCGUUCUCGGGAGAAACGAGGUCAGAUGCGCCCACGUUGCCCGGGCUCUGCUGCGGUGGCAAGGCGGUUUCCUGCAGAGUCUUCGUGCAGGUGCUCAUGGCCACGCCACGGUCCGUCUGUUUCCCGGGGCCCACUCUAACCGCACCGCCGAAUCUGGUCGCUCAUCAGCAGUCGGGGAGACGUCUGAGUCUUCGGGCCUUGCAGGAGUCCAACACCGCCAUGUUGCUCCUGAAGUCUCGGUCCUGUUCCUUCCAAACUUUCGUUUUCUUUCGUCAGUCCCUCCCAGGUGCACCAGGACCUCUGGCUCUUGAGAGCUCCCUUCCUGGUACAGCUGCGCCUCCCCGGAGGAGAGGACCAGGGAGCCUGCCCACCUCCGGCAAGGCCUGCCCCCGCCUGGUGUAAACCCCUGCUCCCGUCUUCAGCGUCAGGCAGGGAGGCUCCUCAAAGCCUGGAAACUGCCAGACCCCACUCCAGAACCCCUGACUCGUGGGUCCCACAGGCCUGAGAAUCUCCGUUUCAGUUUCCCUGGUGACACUGAGGCCGCUGGUCCAGAGAGCAAACAGCCGGCAAGGUGGAAAGUUCGAGCUCAGCCAUCUUUAGACUUUUGAAUGUUCAGGAAUCACCAGGGGGUCCCUCCACCAGGUUCACCCGUUUUUGAUUUUGCUUAUUUACAUUUAGUCCCUGCACAUCUGCAAGGUGUACAGGAUGUCUUCUCAACCUGGGUACAGUGUGUAUUAGUCAGUCAGCGACAUUGCCGGCUACGUUUUCAUCCACAGCAGCUUCCAUGUUUGCGCCUUUUAGAUGUUUUGCUUAUUUUUUCCCUGGCCCCCUCCCUCUCACCCCCUUCCAAACCGUCUCUAGUAUCUAAGGUUGCCGUCCACCAGGGAGCUUAAUGGUGACGAUCCUAGAGCGUAUCAAUCGAGAGAAGUAGAUUGCGAGCCACGUUCCGGAAAGUGAAAGGAGACAGUGGAAUUCAUGCUCAAGGUCUAAACUUUGACUGUUUCAGCAUGCGGUCGGUGUAGGGGUCAUACAUCCCUCCCUCCGAGCCUCGCGGGCAGUUUCCUGCCUGGCCGGUGCUCGUGUCUCCGUGGCUAAGGCUGCCCGGACAGCGCGGUCCUCAGGUCUUCCCUGGGGACACCUCGGAAGCUGCCCUUCAGGGAGCACUCCCUGUCUCCCUCUUACCCCUGGACCGCUUCCCCCCAGCACCACAGACUUUCUCUAACCUGGCGCUUCUCUGCCCUGGCCGCAUACCAGGCGUUCCCUGAGGGGCUGUGAACACUCAGCGCUCAGUAUUCUGACUUGGGUAGGCCAGAAGGCAGUCGAGGUGACGCGGCUGCUUUCUGUGUCCAGGUUAUUCCAACACCCAGCUCGAGUCAUUUCCUGGGGCUCCCUGCGAUUCUUAUACCUGGAGAGCAAGCUACUCAGGACUGGCUUGGACCCGCCACACGCGCCCACACCCCACCCAGACCCACUGAGCUAGGGCCAGUGCUCCGUCAGCUCGCCCCCUCGUUCCUGAGCAUAUCGAAGUCUGAGAAGCACUGCCUCACCUGGAGCAAUUAAGACAUUAUGAAAUGCGUCUUUUUUCUCUGCCUGCAGAGGGCUGGCGCCAUGCAGCACCUCACUGAAGCAGAUAGAGGCUUGCAGCUCGGACUCCCACCCCACUGCCAUGCUUGCUGAUCUGGCUGCAAGACGCUCUCCCCUGUACCCAGACAUGCUGUGGAAACGCCGUGGAGCUCUGCAGCUGUUCCAGCCCAGCUCACCGCUUGGUCAGCAUAGCCGGCUGCUGGCCACGGGGGCGCAGCUGCAGGGGAGGAGGCUCUGGAGGCAAGUGCAGAGGGAGCCCUGGCAGAGGUGUGCCCUACCCCCACCCCGAAGGGGGAGCAAAACCUGGCCCGCCUCCCCCUCUCACCCAGUCCUGCACCCGGAGCCCCGCAGCCUGUGAGCGCCCUGCAGACCCAGCCGUCCCGUUAGCCUCCUCUCCCCAGGCGCUGAGUGCCUGGAGGCUGAGCGAAUGAGGACGCGUGCAUUCUCCCAGUCCUCACCUUCGCUUGGCCUGCCUUGGCCGUCCAGACCCUCUCUCCGUCACGCCUCCUGCUGUUGGUGAGCUUGCAAAGACCGUCGGCCUGAGUGGCCGCUGUCCUCGACACAGUCAACGAGACGUGUGCCUACAGCUGCUUCCAGGUCCAGCUUUGCUGGCAUGCUCUGCUUGGACACUCUGCUCUGCAGUCUGGAGCCACAUGGGAGCCGUGUUCAAGCCCCUGUCCCACCUAAGGGCAGAUGUAGUGGUACACACCUGCUCUCCACUGGGAGGCCGAGGCAAGAGGGUGAUGGCACGGUAAGACCCUUCUUUAGAUCGUUCUAAAUACAGACCGCCAGAGCCCCAGCCCAGACCUGGGGAGCUGGGACCUGGCUCCGCUCUCGACGUGCUCCCAGGGGCCCUGGGGCUGUAGCUUAGAGUCUAUCCCUCGCUGCCAUCUACCCUACAACCGGCCGCCAUUAGCAGGAAAUGGCCAGGGACUUCCGUUCAUCCAAGUUUGACACACACUUAGGGAGUUUUCGCCUUGUGCGAGGUACACGUUAAACAUGGAGACCGCAGGAGAGGGUGAGGUUCAGCGCCCACAUGGCCAAGCUCACCCGCAGCCCAGAGGGACUCGCGGACCAGCCAGGGAGAGGUACCUUUCCCAAAGGCCAUGUGAGAGGGUGGUACCAGGCGCGAUGAGGGUAAUGGGGGGUCCUGGUUCAGAGCCCAGAGCCCAUCCCAGCUGGCUCCUAAAGGCUGAGCAGGAAGAAGCCGCCGAAACCUCAGUGCCGCUGGCACAUGGAAUUCCGAGCAAAACACGGGUAACUCAGGCUGGAGGGGCAUGCUCCAAGGCUUUCCUCCCUCGCACCAGGAAGGAACUCCACUGUGAAAGCACCCACAGUGAACCCUGCAAUGAGUGAUAACUGCCCAGCUUCCAUGAUCCAGGGUGAGGUGCCCUGGGAGGCCUGGGGAGAGCCGCACUCCCUGGGACCUAAAUGAACAUCGCCCAUCUGAAGACAGUUUGCAGGAAAGCAAUCUUCACUGUUACUGAGUGUCUGCCCUGGUCCUGCCGACGCCCCUGCUUGACAGAGACCCCCUACCAUCUGGAAUUGUCAGGGGAAGAUGGACGGUGCACACAGAGGUUGCUGCCGGCAUUGGAAAACGGCUUGUCCCUGCCGCUCGGCAAGUUCUUUGAGCACAGUUGAUAGAAGGUUUCUGACCUUGAAUUAUUAGUUAACGGCAUCUCUGCAGAAGGAAUGAUUUAUCAGGCGAGUAAACUUUGCAAACGAGCGCAGGUCUGGAAUUGCUGCUCUUCCCUCGAAAGCUGAACAUGCAUUAUUUGCACUAUCUGUCUUCAUGGGGAAGCGACAUCCGAAGCAGAGGCUCAUACUUAACCUUGCCCUCGGAGCUCUGUGCAGGCGAGGCGUGAAGACAGGCCGGGGCAGCGUGGAGUCCCCGAACGUGCUGUGCAGGAGGUAGGAGGGCUCCCUUGCCACAGGUGCCACCAGCUGGAGUGGCCUCCUCGUUGAGGACCCCAUGGGGCGGUGCACAGCUCUCAAUAGCCACGUCCCCUCUCACGGGUCACCUGCAAAGCCAGCCGGGGUCAACACCACCAGCUGCUGGCAGGCCCCUGCUCUGCCGCCUUCUCGGUUCACUUGCUUUUGAGCAAAAGGUGUUGCUCUAGGGGAAGGAGUGUGUCCGCCCUGUCACUUGCCACACAGGGGACUCAUCCUCCCCUUCUCUCGGAGGGCCUGGUUCAGCCUGGAGCUCUGAGGACAAGGGCAGGGAAGCAGGAAUUCAGGGCCUCCUCAACCCUCACCGGCCUGCUCCCUUGCGCCAGCUACCUCCGGCACCUGGGAUGCUGCUCCUCCAGCUCACACUCACACGCACACUCACACCGUCCAGCAUUGCAGUGGGGCCCCCACUCACA